CGUCAUCCGCGCCGCCCGACGGGUUGGCAAGGCCCCCAGUGGCCAAGGCAUGAGCCUGGAUGCCCUGCAAAUUGAGUACGUGUUAGGGAUGGGGGCCAUUCUUUAUAGUUUGACUCUGGAGAGCUAGGACCACCUUUCCCAGCCUCAGGGGUGCACAUCCUCAGGAGCUGCCUACCUCCAGAUAUUCACUUCGGGACGCUGAGAGAGGUGGAUCACCUGAGGUCAGGAGUUCGAGAUCAGCCUGGCCAACAUGGAGAAACCCCGCCUCUACUAAAAAUACAAAACAUUAGCUGGGUGUGGUGGCACACACCUGUAAUUCCAGCUACUCGGGAGGCAGAAGCAGGAGAAUCGCUUGAAUCCAGGAGGCGGAGGUUGCAGUAAGCCGAGAUCACGCCACUACACUCCAGCUUACACUGGACAUGAUGAGGAGGAGGAGGAUGAUGGUGGUGAUUAUGAUAGAAAUGGUGAUGGUGAUGAUGACAAUGGUGAUAGUAGGGAUGGUCUUGCUCUGUCGCAAUCAAUAAAUGAAUGCAUAAACACAUUUCUACUUGUUUUUGCAGUCCUAAGAUAAGUGCUCAGUAGCAUCCCUGCCCUUCUAAUGUGAACUUGAGGGAUGGGUAAGACCCAGAGAUGGCAUGGGGGACGGGAUAAGGAAGGCCUACUGUUCAUAUUGUGAACAUGAAAUGGUUUUACAUUUUGAUGCCACUUCAUUAAAUUGACUGUAUGAUAUGAGCUAACGCUACACCCUCCUUUAAAUUUUGGCUAACACAUCCAUAUCCUCAGGUGGUAUCAGUUGAUAAUGCCCAUGAAAAUAUUUUGUAAACUACAGGGUGCUAAACAAUUAUUUACUUGUAUCCCUUUCUGUGGGGCACAGUUUGAUGCUAUACACAAAGCAGUGAAGUCUCGACAAGAAUGAUGACCACUACAAUGAGCACAAAAUAAAGUCUUUUUGGGGUUUUU
rnacentral:lncRNA from 1 species